rnacentral:rRNA from 1 species
AUUGAACGCUGGCGGCAGGCCUAACACAUGCAAGUCGAGCGGAUGAAGGGAGCUUGCUCCUGGAUUCAGCGGCGGACGGGUGAGUAAUGCCUAGGAAUCUGCCUGGUAGUGGGGGAUAACGUCCGGAAACGGGCGCUAAUACCGCAUACGUCCUGAGGGAGAAAGUGGGGGAUCUUCGGACCUCACGCUAUCAGGUGAGCCUAGGUCGGAUUAGCUAGUUGGUGGGGUAAAGGCCUACCAAGGCGACGAUCCGUAACUGGUCUGAGAGGAUGAUCAGUCACACUGGAACUGAGACACGGUCCAGGGUCCUACGGGAGGCAGCAGUGGCGAAUAGUGGACAAUGGGCGAAAGCCUGAUCCAGCGAUGCAGCGUGUGUGAAGAAGGUCUUCGGAUUGUAAAGCACUUUAAGUGGGGAGGAAGGGCAGUAAGUUAAUACCUUGCUGUUUUGACGUUACCAGCAGAAGAAGCACCGGCUAACUUCGUG